UAUCGCUACUCGUUAAAAUCAAUCUUAACAUCAUAGCUAUCUACGCUGAUAUCAUAUUAAAAUUCUGCGUCUAUCUAAUCUUUUCAAAAUGCCACAUGGAACAUAAUGUGAAUAUAUACAAAAAAAAAAACAUAAUAACUCCAUCUAUUUAUAGGAUCUCACUCACAUCAUAUUUUAUUCAAUUCUUCUUCUUCUUCUCAAAGUAUAUAUUUAAAAAAUUAAGAAAAAAUUAGAAGAAAACUACUUAAAGAAUCAAGAAAAUGUGUGUUAAUUCAACAGAAUGGAGUGCUUCACGUAUUCAUUAUUUUUCUGGGAAGAAAAAAAACCCAAAAAAAUCCAGAGUUCAAGUUCAUAGGCUUGCAUGGAGGAAGAGAAGUGAGGAAAAGGCAGCAGUAGGUAAAAAUAUGGAAUUGAAAAAUUUGAAGUUAUAUAUGGAAAAUAUGAGUAUAUUAGAAGAAAAUGAAAAAUUGAGGAAAAAGGCAAAUCUUCUCCAUCAAGAAAAUCUUGCUUUAUUUUCUGAAUUUGAGAAGAAAAUUUCUCAAUCGGAUCGAGUUUCCGCCACCCUUAAUUUAAUCAAGGACGGAGCUAGAGUUUAAGUUACGAGUUCAGUCAAAUUCGUAGCACUUUGAAGAUCAAAAUUUGUAUUGUUCUAAUAAAAAUCUAUGGAAUAUGUAUAAAUUGUUAAUUUUAAAAUUUGAACGCUUAAGCUUUAAAUUUUAGUUCUGUCUUCCUAAGUCGUCAUAUCAAUGAAGAAAACCUAUUUCAUGAUCUAAAUACCAUGUUUACGACCCUCAUCUUUCUAGAAAGUGUCUUUGUUCUACAUCAAUUGUAUAAUAAUAUAUCUGAAUUGUAUGUACAAUAAAUCUAUGUAAUUUUAUUUUUUUUACA